rnacentral:rRNA from 1 species
CCUACGGGUGGCUGCAGUGAGGAAUAUUGGUCAAUGGGCGCGAGCCUGAACCAGCCAAGUCGCGUGAGGGAGGACGGCCCUACGGGUUAUAAACCUCUUUUGUCAGGGAGCAAAGGGCGCCACGUGUGGCGUUUUGCGAGUACCUGAAGAAAAAGCAUCGGCUAACUCCGUGCCAGCAGCCGCGGUAAUACGGAGGAUGCGAGCGUUAUCCGGAUUUAUUGUGUUUAAAGGGUGCGCAGGCGGAAUGUCAAGUCAGCGGUAAAAUUUCGGGGCUCAACCCCGUCGUGCCGUUGAAACUGGCGUUCUUGAGUGAGCGAGAAGUAUGCGGAAUGCGUGGUGUAGCGGUGAAAUGCAUAGAUAUCACGCAGAACUCCGAUUGCGAAGGCAGCAUACCGGCGCUCAACUGACGCUCAUGCACGAAAGCGUGGGUAUCGAACAGGAGUAGAUACCCGAGUAGUC